UGUUCCUGAAAACAGACAAGGAAACAUUAUGCUCAUGUGUCAUAUAUAGUUCAUGUAUUCUUCCUCUGUCCUUUAAAGAAAAGGACCUGUGACAACAUUUCUUUGCAGCACUGGCUCAGAGUGAGGCAGAAAAGAAGCAGGACUGGGCAUCAAUGUGCACCAAACCAGAUAGCUCUGCAGGAGUUACUUGCUACUACAAAUGGAUAUAAUUCUCUUCAACUGGAAAAUGUUCUUCAGAAAUGACCUGCGCAUUAUUGUCUUCAAUCUCCCCCAGCCCAGGGCAGAAUGGAUCAAGCUAGAAGUGAAAAUCCAUCGUAGUAUUAAAGUAAGUUCUGAUCAGCUCCAUGUGCCCAGCCAGUCUAAUGCUGUGCUUUGAGAAUGACAUACAGAGGCCACAGCACAGGGAAAGGCUGAGUCGUGGACUUCUGAAUUACCUAAAAACUAAAAAAGUUAUCAGUGGGAAAAAAUAAGUGUGCUAUGGUAUUUAAUAUAACUAAAUAGUAAUAGCUGUUCUGUGCAGUGGUUUAUAUAUGCUGUGCUGGAUUUGUUUGUGGAUAAGCUGAACAACACCUGAGCUUUGAAAACAAACUCUCUGACAGUAUAUUGUUCAAAAUGACCACUGAUGAAAAAUGGCAGAGACAAGCAGAUAAAGCAGGCACGGCACCUGGGAAAGAGGGAAUAUUCCCAGCUCCCACUGAAGUCAGUGAGGCUGAAUUAAGAAGAAUUUGAGUGCCAGCACGUGGUCGUUACUUGCUGAUAUCUCAGUG